rnacentral:miRNA from 14 species
CUUUCGGGAAACAGUCAAGCCG